rnacentral:rRNA from 1 species
AUUGAACGCUGGCGGCAGGCCUAACACAUGCAAGUCGAGCGGAUGAAGGGAGCUUGCUCCUGGACUCAGCGGCGGACGGGUGAGUAAUGCCUAGGAAUCUGCCUGGUAGUGGGGGAUAACGUCCGGAAACGGGCGCUAAUACCGCAUACGUCCUGAGGGAGAAAGUGGGGGAUCUUCGGACCUCACGCUAUCAGAUGAGCCUAGGUCGGAUUAGCUAGUUGGUGGGGUAAAGGCCUACCAAGGCGACGAUCCGUAACUGGUCUGAGAGGAUGAUCAGUCACAAUGGAACUGGAGAAAGGUCCAGAAUCCUAAGGGAGGGAGCAGUGGGGAAUAUUGGACAAUGGGCGGAAGCCUGAUCCAGCCAAGGCGCGUGUGUGAAGAAGGUCUUCGGAUUGUAAAGCACUUUAAGUUGGGAGGAAGGGCAGUAAGUUAAUACCUUGCUGUUUUGACGUUACCAACAGAAUAAGCACCGGCUAACUUCGUG